GAUGAACGCUAGCGGCAGGCCUAACACAUGCAAGUCGAGGGAGAAGCCCUUUCGGGGGCAGAAACCGGCGCACGGGUGCGUAACGCGUAUGCAACCUACCUUUCACAGGGGGAUAGCCCGAAGAAAUUUGGAUUAAUACCCCAUAAUAUUGUUGGAUGGCAUCAUCUGGCAAUUAAAGCUACGACGGUGGAAGAUGGGCAUGCGUCCUAUUAGCUAGUUGGAGUGGUAACGGCACCCCAAGGCUACGAUAGGUAGGGGUCCUGAGAGGGAGAUCCCCCACACUGGUACUGAGACAGGGACCAGACUCCUACGGGAGGCAGCAGUGAGGAAUAUUGGUCAAUGGUCGGAAGACUGAACCAGCCAUGCCGCGUGCAGGAAGAAUGCCUUAUGGGUUGUAAACUGCUUUUAUAUGGGAAGAAUAAGGCGUACGUGUACG
rnacentral:rRNA from 1 species